GAUGAACGCUAGCGGCAGGCUUAACACAUGCAAGUCGAGGGGUAUAGUUCUUCGGAACUAGAGACCGGCGCACGGGUGCGUAACGCGUAUGCAAUCUACCUUUUGCAGAGGGAUAGCCCAGAGAAAUUUGGAUUAAUACCUCAUGGUAUGUGAGAAUGGCAUCAUUUUCACAUUAAAGUCACAACGGCAAAAGAUGAGCAUGCGUCCCAUUAGCUAGUUGGUAAGGUAGCGGCUUACCAAGGCAACGAUGGGUAGGGGUCCUGAGAGGGAGAUCCCCCAUACUGGUACUGAGACACGGACCAGGACUCCUACGGGAGGCAGCAGUGAGGAAUAUUGGACAAUGGGCGCAAGCCUGAUCCAGCCAUGCCGCGUGCAGGAUGACGGUCCUAUGGAUUGU
rnacentral:rRNA from 1 species